rnacentral:tRNA from 1 species
GCCCYGAUAGUAUAARCAUUACACUGGUCUUGUAAACCAGUAAUGAAAAAAAAAUUUUCUCAGGGCA